ensembl:lncRNA
CUCCGGACCUGUGACAUCAUCACGUACGCUGGUACAAAUCACGAGUCCGUGCUCGCGUACUUGAGAAUUGAGAAACGGCCGACGAGUCCGUGCUCGCGUUCUCGGCAGGUACGUACUCCCGUGCGUUCUCGGCGGGUACGUACUCACCGAGCACGCGAGUACGUACUCGCGUACUUGGGCAUUGAUAAACGGCCCUGGUGGUUCUAUCCCCGUGUGUCCGUCAGAUAUCUAACCCCACGUUGCAUCCAUCAGUGUGUGAGUGUUUGACAGAGAACAUAGCAGAGAUUUAAAUCAGCGACAGUUAAAACAAACAGACUCAAAACAUCCACAAAGUCUCAAAAUAACAACAAAACAAGUACUAAGAGAUUCAGAGUAACAGCUACAGUCUCACAACAGCUAAAACUACUAGAAAGACUUUGAAAACAAGCACAAAAAGACUGAAAACAGGAAAAAAAAAGUUAAAACCAGAGAUAAAAGCUAGCACUAAGAAAGACAUUCAGAAACAAACAUCUGUCUAUAGAUACAUUUAAAAAAAACCAUUUAAACUAAAAGGAUUACUCACAUAUAUAUUGAUGGAUAUGUUUUGCAGCAGAAUAAUUUUUUACGUUUUUAUUUAUUUGAUGGCCACCUAAACAGAGUGUCACGCUCUCACUCGCAUGCAGUAAUUAAUACCAGUGAAUGAAGUCAUAUGUCCCCUGUGAGCAGCUCACGGACCUGACAUUAGAUUUUCCUGCUGCUCAUUAUUGGUAUGCAGCCUGGAGAGAGAGGGGGAGAGGCGGUCAGAUCGAACUUCACUGACUUUCUCGGAGCAGAGUUGGUUAAGUAACAGCUGUUUGAGGAGAAGGAGAAAAAUCACAGUGAGUGUUUGAGCUGUGUUGAAAUGGAGACGGGCAGAUAGUGUGACUGUUUCUGAGACAUGCAGUCAAAGCAGAGAGCCCCAAGGAGCUGGAACCAGAGUAAACAACGAAAGGUAAAUAAAGCCAAGUCAGUGGGUCAGAUGCUGUGUUCAAGUUCGACUUGUAAAAACCGAGAGGACUGUGGGGUGUGUGAAUAAGAUGGUAAAAUGGUAAAUGGCCUGUAUUUAUAUAGCGCUUUCUAGUCCCUAAGGACCCCAAAGCGCUUUACAUAUCCAGACAUCCACCCAUUCACACACACAUUCACACACUGGUGAUGGCAAGCUACAUAGUAGCCACAGCCACCCUGGGGCGCACUGACAGAGGCGAGGCUGCCGAACACUGGCGCCACCGGGCCCUCUGACCACCACCAGUAGGCAACGGGUGAAGUGUCUUGCCCAAGGACACAACGACCGAGACUGUCCAAGCUGGGGCUCGAACCGGCAACCUUCCGAUUACAAGGCGAACUCCCAACUCUUGAGCCACGACCGGAAGAAAGGAAAGGUUCCAGGUGGUUCUGUACUCUUGAAAAAAAUAUAGUUUCAAUGAAUUGAGGAAAUAUAUUCAAUUCAAUUUUAUUUAUACAGCUCCAAAUCACAACAACUGUCGCCUCAAGGCGCUUUAUAUUGUACAGCAGAUCGUUCAAUAAUAGAUACAGAGAAAAAGCCAACAAUCAUAUGACCCCCUAUGAGCAAGCACUUUGGCGACAGUGGGAAGGAAAAACUCCCUCAGGGAGGGGCGGGGCCAUCUGCUGCGACCGGUUGGGGUGAGAGAAAGAAGACGGGAUAAAGUCUGUGAAGGUUCUCAGUCAUCCAGCUCAUCGUAGUCAAAGGAAUUUGCAAAGAAAAGCGUCUGGACUUCUUUAAGUUGCUUGAAGACGUUUCACCUCUCAUCCCAGAAGCUUCUUCAGUUCUAAGGUCAAAUGGCCGAGAGUCCCAGAUUUAAACCCUGUGGGAGACGGGAUAAAGACAUGCUGUGGAAGAGAGACAGGGAUUAAUAACAAGUGUGAUGCAGUGCAGAGAGGUCUGUUAGGCUUGACUGGUACACCAUAUAUCUACAUCAUAUUCAAAACCCCAAACUCAAAAAUUUAACAUCACUAUGACAAAGAUUCUUUGUGUGAUUAAACACUUUAAGGAACCUUCUGUUGCUUUGUCGUCAGCUUCUAUGUUAACUCCCUCUGUAAAUUUUCUUACUCAUUUAUCCACAACAGGGUCUUUUGCCUCUUGUAUUCACUGUGCAAGAGGCAGAGUACACCAUGGACAUGUCGCCAAUACGACCCAGGGCACAGAGUUACAUCCACAGACUCACCAUGAACCUAAUAUGCCUCUGUUUGGACUUUGGAAGAAGCUGGUGUACCUGUAGAGAACCCACAUACCCACAGGGAGAACAUGUAAACUCCACACAGAAAGGCCUGUAACGGUGCUGACCAAUCAGAAAUGUCUGGUGAAUUGUUCAUUUAUCAACUAGACAGCUUGGUUUGCAAACUGUAACUGCUAAACAGUGCUGAGUAACAGUCUAAUAAAAACAUGAAUUUUACUCACCAGAACGGCUGCACAAACUUUGUGGAUGGCCUGUAGCAUGCAGCAGCACAUUAACUGUGGUAGUCAGUGCAGCUCACGCCUGUAACUGACGCUUACAUAAUAACACAUCAGUCAUGAGAUGGUGUGUUAGAGAUGGAUGAUUAAAGCAACUGUGAUUUUUAAGUGCGUUAUGUGAAAUGAAUGAAUAGCUGUGUUAAAUAAUUGACAUCACAAUUACUUGAUUGUGGUUUUUGCUGUGUUAUCGUGGCUUGUGAGGCGCUUUGACAGUCAUUCUGUUCAGGAUUCAGUCAGCAUGCAAGGAAGAAGUGAAAAUAACUCAAGCUACUUUGGAAACCAAGAACACAUGGAUAUGAGUUUCUUUAAUGUGCAAGUUGUAAUAGUAUGGAAUAGAAGUUUAGAUAUAAAACAAUGAGUCUGGGUUUACUAAAAGUCACUUGAAAUUUUACUUGAAAGUUAACUAACAAAAUAAAGAGUUAACUGUGUCCCUGGCUCUGGAGACAUCUGACCUUUGACCCCAGAGGUGCUGGUAAAGAGACACACCUGCCCUGCAGCAUAUUUACACAAACACAGUCGAGGUGUGAUGGUUCAUUUGGGCAGGGUGUUGUUACACUGACAACAAGUUUGAUCUUCCACGGCAAAGUGUGAAGAGUUGCAGGGUUCGUAUCAUUUUCAUUUCCUGUGUGGAUGCUGAUGUAGACUUCAUGUCUGGCCUUCACUCCCUUGAAAGGACCUCACAGUAUUUAUCAUACGUUACCAUUUAUACAGGCUCUGUGAUCAUUUUUACAUUUCUUAAUAAAUAGUUUUCUUUUAUUCUGAGCCUUCUGGCAUGUGGGUACUGUGGUUAGCAGGAGUGGUUAGCAAGAAGGUCCUGGGUUUGAAUCCAGGCUGGGGGCUUUCUGUGUGGAGCUUGCAUGUUCUCCCAGUGUCUCCGUGGGUUCUCUCUGGGUACGCCUGCUUCCUUCCACAGUCCAAAAACAUGCAUGGGGUUUAGUUAACUGGUGAUUCUAAAAUUGAGCAUAAGUGUGAAUGUAGGCGUUAACGGUCGGUCGUGGGUGAAGCCUGCCUCUUGCUCUAUGAUACCUGGAAUAGUUUCCUGGCAAUCCUGAAAUAACUGGAUGGAUGUUUUAAUAAAUGGCAAUCACACAAAAUCUCAAAAUCUAGCUGUAGAGCAUGUAUGUACGCACAUCUAUGGAGAACAUGUUGUGGAUUAUAGUGCUGCAGGAAUGACCUCCUCUGUGCACACUGAAGACAAAAAGGUCAAAUGUGGAUUCUUUACUCCAUAAACCCCGUUGCCACUAAUUUUCAGUCAAGUUCUUGUGGAAUAUCAAAUACAUCAGCUUAGUCUUCCUGAUUUCCUUCUUUAUGGACAGCAGCUCCUCCACUGAGACCCUUUUUCAUGUGAACAGCAGACAGACGGUCCUGCGUCAGGUCUUUGCUGAAUUUCUUCCUAUUCCUUAAGAAGAUGACUUUCAGGUAUUGUUGAUAGCUGUAGAUCAGUUUUUAGAACUGAUACUGAUAAUUUGAUGUAAAUUAUUGCAAUGUUUUACAAUACGUCACUGUAACAAAGUCUCUAAAGAUACUAUUUAACCCUAGAACACUAUCGCUGUAAAUAGUAACACAAUCACUAAUGCCGGGUGAUUUUUACCCGAUAUAAUAUAACCAAUAAAAAGUAAUCAAAUAUAUCAAAAUAUGACAACACAUGACAAAUUAGAGUGGUCGUCUUUUACUUUCAACUGUGCCGUGUCUAACAAAAUGAAAAAAAAAAAACCUAAAACAAAAUGAUGACUCUGGAAAGCUGGUCUUUGGUCCACCCAUUCCUGGGAAAUUUGAGACUUCCCUGGUGAAGGCACAGGCUCCUCGACACGCAAACAGCUGCAGGAGAGAGAAAUCAUGUAAAUGUAUUUGCUCGGGUGUAAAUCACCUGGCGAUAGUGUUCUAGGGUUAAAAUGUUUUUGUUGUUAGGUUGUCUGAUUUUUUCAGUAGUUUGCCCUUGCAUUAGACGCCUUUUUAAUGCUUGAGUCCUGAAUCAUAGGUCAGUGUUAAGUGGUUUAAAAAUCUGAACUGAAAAUGAGUGAAAAUGCAGCCAAGGUGAAGAAAAAAACGUUGAAAGCCUGGAGAACUACUCCUCGAGACUAAUUCAAAAAAAUACACAAAGGUCUGGCUGCUUGGAAGCAGAACAUAAAGACUUGGGCAGUAAAGCAAGUUUAAACAGUUUUACACUCUCAGUCCCUCAUCUCAAAGUCAUUGUUUGUUGUUUCCUUUUUGUUUUUUUGAAUGUCUGAAAUAAAAUCAGGAUUUCUCCUACAAAAUAAAACACAUAAGCAAGUGCUCCUAAAAUGUGAACCUUUUUCUUUUUGGUGUACAGUUUAUCUGUUUUUGUUUAGUGUUUGUACAGUUCACUGAGCCCUGCUAAUCAUUCACAAGAUCAUACAUUUGGCAUUACUAUUGAAAAAACAUUAAAGCAAGUGAUAACAUAUCCUUAAAAAAAUGAAAAAAUCUAACAAAAAUACUGAUCAUAAUAUUAGAAAGCAGGCUCCUCCUCCUACCCCUGUCACCAUCGGAGGGGCUGAUGUGGAGAUCGUUGAGGACUACCGGUACCUGGGGGUACACUUGGACUGUAACCUGGACUGGACCAAGAACACCAAUGCUAUCUUCAAAAAAGGGCAGAGUCGGCUUUUCCUACUGAGGCGACUCAGGUCCUUCAAUGUUGGUAGGAAAAUGCUGACCAUGUUCUAUCACUCGGUGUUGGAGAGCGUUGUGUUCUUUGCAGCUGUGUGCUGGGGAAGUGGGGUGAAGACAGCUGAUGCCAACAGGCUGAACAAGCUGAUUAAAAAGGCUGGUUCUGUCCUGGGUGUCAGACUGGAGAACCCGGAGGAGGUGUCUGAGAGGAGAAUGCUAAAAAAGCUUCUUUCUAUCAUGGACAAUCCCUCCCACCCCAUGCACGCCUCCAUGAUGGACCAUCAGAGCAAACGCAGCAAAAGACUCAUUGCCCCGAAAUGCAGAACUGACCGCCACAGGAAAUCCUUUGUGCCGGUGGCAAUAAGACUGUAUAACUCUUCCUCACUCUGUAGGUGAUUUUCCUGAGACUAUUACCUAUGUUAUUCUGUUCCUUGUCAGACCGUGCAAUAUUACCCAACAGUACCUUAUUGAAUAUUUGUUUCAUCCCCCCAUCAUACGCUGCUACUCCCUUUAUUCUAUUGCACAAUACUAUGUCACUUUCUAGAAUCGCC